UAUACGACUCUCGGCAAUGGAUAUCUCGGCUCUUGCAUCGAUGAAGAGCGCAGCGAAAUGCGAUACGUGGUGCGAAUUGCAGAAUCCCGCGAAC
rnacentral:rRNA from 1 species